GCCCCAGGGUCACUUGACAGAAGCCAUUUUCAUUCUCAAGGACACAUGCUUUACAACUUCCACUGCGUCAGAGAAGUCCCACUGACUUGGGCCCAGUCACCGACGGAUUGUGUUCUACUGCAGGAAAGGUUUUAAACGCAUUGCUUAUAAUCAUGCAUGGUAGGGUCAACUUCUGGAAACUUGAAAUACGGCAGUUAAGCUUCAGGUUUGGGACAGACUGUUUGCAAAUUCUUUGCCUCCCUCCAUCCCGCCAAGCAUAGGACAUGGGCUUCAUGAUCACUACUCUGGAUGGCUUGCUGUGUGUCAGACCAACAUGUAUGUGAGGGGAGUGGAUGAUCACCUUUCUGGUGGAAAGCAGAACAGAGUUCACAAGUAGUAAGAGCUGGUCAUUGGCCUUUCAUGCAUGAGCAGACAGCAGUUGCUCAUUCUUUGGAUUGGAUUUUGAUAGUUGCAAAUAGAAAUGAAAAUCCUCGA